rnacentral:rRNA from 1 species
GACGAAGGGGGCUAGCGUUGUUCGGAAUUACUGGGCGUAAAGCGAGUGUAGGCGGUUGCCCAAGUCAGGUGUGAAAGCCUUGAGCUCAACUCAAGAAAUGCACUUGGUACUGGGUGGCUAGAGGACCGGAGAGGAUAGUGGAAUUCCCAGUGUAGUGGUGAAAUACGUAGAGAUCCGGAAGAACACCGGUGGCGAAGGCGGCCUGCUGGGCAGUUGCUGACACUGAGGCGCGACAGCGUGGGGAGCAAACAGG